GCCGGUGUAGCUCAGUCGGUAGAGCAACUGUUUCGUAAUCAGUAGGUCGGGGGUUCAAUUCCUCUCACCGGCACCA
rnacentral:tRNA from 1 species